rnacentral:rRNA from 1 species
AUGGUACAGGCGUCUGCGGAUGAUGCUCAUUCUCCUCUAUGUGCAGAAGCUUUGGCGAUUAGGCUAGCAGCUGCGGUGGCGGCCUCUCUUCACCUUAAUCAGGUUUCUUUCCUCACCGACAAUCUUUCCUUGGCAAAGAUGGCGGCGUCCAGAAAUAUAAAUGAUGUCUUGAUCAUGUGGAGAUAUCGCAGCCCUCUCAGCAAGUUUAUCCAGGACACAUCCUUCGUAAAUGCUGUUGUUUAUCACAUCCCCAGGAACAUCAAUGGGGUAGCUCAUGAUUGUGCUCAUCAGGUUCUCAACUCAAGAGUAGAAUAUUUCUUCAGUUGUACUCAUUCCUCUCAAGCAAUGGUUCUUACCCUCUUUUACUUUCUCUUCAAAAUCUUCAGGUGGAAGGGAAUGUAA